rnacentral:misc_RNA from 1 species
AAAGAGAAUUCAACCAGCUGCUCUGGUCAAAUUGGCAGAUACAUUUGUAUUGAUGAUAAAAGCAAAGGUUCAAGCAAGGAUGGACUCACUAAUCUCAUGGAAAUAUUUGAUUCUAUUGCAGAGAAUAAAUGUGCCACUGUCUUUCGUCGACGGCUUGAUAGCCAGAAGAGGAGAAGAUACAAGAAAAUGAUUUUGCAGCAU